CUAUGCACAAUGCGGAAAAGGAAAAGGAAUCAGAGUUGGGGACCAAGGCCUGCACUUUAAAUGAACCCUCAGUAUCGGAUUCUCGACCCAAGAAACGAAAGAAAAUUUCAAUUGAUGAAUUGCAAAGAAUGCAGUAUGAGGUUUUAUGUUGUCAAAAGACACACAUUGGACUCAAGAAUGCGAAGAUUCAGAAGGACAUUGAGCGGUCAGAACUUGAAACUGAAAACUUGAGGCUGCGGAAUGCCAAGUUGACCCAUGAAAUUGAGCUCUUAAAACAAAAUCUUGCGCAAAAUGAAAAUGCCUUGCUUGCAUUGCAAGCUUUAUCUGAUGAGUAAAAAAAUUAUGAAUUAAAUAAGUACACAGGUCAUGUGUUAAAAUGUAA